AGGGUUUGAUUCUGGCUCAGAACGAACGCUGGCAGCGUGGAUUAGGCAUGCAAGUCGAACGUGAAUCCGGUGAUCAAUCUUUCGGGAGAGUGAACCGGUGGAAAGUGGCGGAAGGGUGAGUAACGCGUGGGCAAUCUGCCUCCGAGUUGGGGAUAACCAUUCGAAAGGAUGGCUAAUACCGAAUACGGUGGUGUUGCUUCGGUGACAUUGACUAAAGGUGGGGCUCCUUCGGGACCUGCCGCUGGGAGAGGAACCCGCGUCCGAUCAGCUUGUUGGUGGGGUAACGGCCUACCAAGGCUACGACCGGUAGCUGGUCUGAGAGGAUGGUCAGCCACACUGGGACUGAGACACUGCCCAGACUCCUACGGGAGGCUGCAGUCGAGGAUCAUUGGCAAUGCGCGAAAGCGUGACCAUGCGACGCUGCGUGGGGGAUGAAGGCCUUCGGGUUGUAAACCCCUGUCAUUGGGGACAAAUCACUCGGCCGUGAAUAUCGGUUGAGUUUGAUGGUACCUGAAGAGGAAGCCACGGCUAACUCUGUGCCAGCAGCCGCGGUAAUACAGAGGUGGCGAGCGUUGUUCGGAUUUACUGGGCGUAAAGGGUGCGUAGGUGGCUGCGUGUGUCGGAUGUGAAAUCCCGUUGCUUAACGGCGGAACUGCAUUCGAAACUGCGUGGCUUGAGUGCAGGAGGGGAGAGCGGAAUUCUCGGUGUAGCGGUGAUAUGUGUUGAUAUCGAGAAGAACACCGGUGGCGAGGCGGCUCUCUGGAAUGUUACUGACACUGAGGCACGAAAGCUGGGGGAGCAAACAGGAUUAGAUACCCUGGUAGUCCCAGCCGUAAACGGUGCGCACUUGGUGUUGGCGGUAUUGAUCCCGCCAGUGCCGGAGCUAACGCGUUAAGUGCGCCGCCUGGGGAGUACGGCCGCAAGGUUAAAACUCAAAGAAAUUGACGGGGGCCCGCACAAGCGGAGGAGCAUGUGGCUUAAUUCGAUGCAACGCGAAGAACCUUACCAGGGCUUGACAUGCAGCUGCACGCCCCGGGAAACCGGGGUUCCUUCGAGGGUGCUGCACAGGUGCUGCAUGGCUGUCGUCAGUUCGUGCCGUGAGGUGUUGGGUUAAGUCCCGCAACGAACGCAACCCCUGUGGUUAGUUGCCACCGUCGGUGAUGAGCCGGCGAGCACUCUAGCCAGACUGCCCGUACAAGCGGGAGGAAGGUGGGGACGACGUCAAGUCAGUAUGGCCCUUACGCCCUGGGCUGCACACGUGCUACAAUGGUCGGUACAAAGGGAAGCAAGACCGUGAGGUGGAGCAAAUCCCCAAAGCCGGCCCCAGUUCGGAUUGGAGUCUGCAACUCGACUCCAUGAAGUCGGAUUCGCUAGUAACGGCGCAUCAGCUACGGCGCCGUGAAUACGUUCCCGGGCCUUGUACACACCGCCCGUCACAUCAUGAAAGCCGUCUGCACCCGAAGUCGCCGGGCCAACCCGUAAGGGAGGCAGGUGCCGAAGGUGUGGGUGGUGAUU
rnacentral:rRNA from 1 species